rnacentral:tRNA from 2 species
UGCCGGUGGUGCUGGACGCCGGGAUCGGCACGGCUUCCGAUGCCGCGUUGGCGAUGGAAUUGGGUUGUGACGCCGUUCUGUUGGCCACCGCCGUC